AUGGAGGCUCUGAAGGAGAUUUUGGUUACCUAUGAGAGAGCUUCGGGGCAAAAAGUUAACUUGGAGAAAUCUUCUAUCUUCUUUGGGAAGGGGUGCCAGGAUGGGGUUAAGUCUGAGUUGAAAAGUGUUUUAGGGAUUCAGUCUGAAGCCCUAAGUGAGAAGUACCUUGGACUCCCAACACUGGUUGGUAGAUCUAAGGAGGGGACUUUUAAGUAUGUAACAGAA
rnacentral:rRNA from 1 species